GACGAACGCUGGCGGCGUGCCUAAUACAUGCAAGUCGAACGCACUCUCGUUUAGAUUGACGGAGUUUGCUCCUGAUUGAUAAACAUUUGAGUGAGUGGCGGACGGGUGAGUAACACGUGGGUAACCUGCCCUAAAGUGGGGGAUAACAUUUGGAAACAGAUGCUAAUACCGCAUAAAACCUAACACCGCAUGGUGUAGGGUUGAAAGAUGGUUUCGGCUAUCACUUUAGGAUGGACCCGCGGUGCAUUAGUUAGUUGUUGAGGUAAAGGCUCACCAAGACAGUGAUGCAUAGCCGGCCUGAGAGGGUAAUCGGCCACACUGGGACUGAGACACGGCCCAGACUCCUACGGGAGGCAGCAGUAGGGAAUCUUCCACAAUGGACGAAAGUCUGAUGGAGCAACGCCGCGUGAGUGAAGAAGGUUUUCGGAUCGUAAAACUCUGUUGUUGGAGAAGAAUGUAUCUGAUAGUAACUGAUCAGGUAGUGACGGUAGCCAACCAGAAAGCCACGGCUAACUACGUG
rnacentral:rRNA from 1 species